rnacentral:rRNA from 1 species
UACGUAGGGCGCAAGCGUUGUCCGGAAUUAUUGGGCGUAAAGAGCUCGUAGGCGGUCUGUUGCGUCCGCUGUGAAAACUCGGGGCUUAACCCCGAGCCUGCAGUGGAUACGGGCAGACUAGAGGUAGGUAGGGGAGAAUGGAAUUCCCGGCGUAGCGGUGAAAUGCGCAGAUAUCGGGAGGAACACCGGUGGCGAAGGCGGUUCUCUGGGCCUUACCUGACGCUGAGGAGCGAAAGCGUGGGGAGCGAACAGG